rnacentral:rRNA from 1 species
UACGUAGGUGGCAAGCGUUGUCCGGAUUUACUGGGCGUAAAGAGCGCGCAGGCGGUCGAGUAAGUCGAAUGUGAAAGCCCCCGGCUUAACUGGGGAGGGUCAUUCGAUACUGUUCGACUUGAAGGCAGGAGAGGGCAGCAGAAUUCCCGGUGUAGUGGUGAAAUGCGUAGAUAUCGGGAGGAAUACCAGUGGCGAAGGCGGCUCACUGGACUGGUAUUGACGCUGAGGUGCGAAAGCGUGGGGAGCAAACAGG